UACAGGGGGUGCAAACGUUGCUCGGAAUCAUUGGGCGUAAAGCGCACGUAGGCGGUUCGUUAUGUCGGAUGUGAAAGCCCUCGGCUCAACUGAGGAAGUGCACCCGAAACUGGCGAGCUUGAGUACGAAAGAGGAUCGCGGAAUUCCCGGUGUAGAGGUGAAAUUCGUAGAUAUCGGGAGGAACACCGGUGGCGAAGGCGGCGAUCUGGGUCGAUACUGACGCUGAGGUGCGAAAGCGUGGGGAGCAAACAGG
rnacentral:rRNA from 1 species